GCGUUCUUAGUUCAGUUGGUAGAACGUAGGUCUCCAAAACCUAAUGUAGUAGGUUCGAAUCCUACAGAGCGUG
rnacentral:tRNA from 1 species